GGAAGUUGCAACAAUAAUGUGUCCAAAUUCCCAUAAUAAUUACAUAAAAUUGGAAAAGCUCAUGGGGAGGCAAAUUAAAAUGCUAAAGGGUUUCUAAUACAUGAAAUAUGGAGAAAGAUGAAACAUUUUGGAACAUUCUGGAAGUGUUUAUCUUGGAAGGGUACUACUGAGUAGAAGUAUAUUGUAGUGCUGCUGUUGAUUAACAUAACUUUCAUGCUGCCAUCCAUGAAAAGUACAAUAAUCUAUAUUUAAUAGCUUGCACCCUUUCAGCAGUAUUCAGAAAUAGCUUAUUGUUCAACAUAAAUAGCUUCACUCAACUGUUGGCACUGAAAGACGCAAUGAAUUUGGGCUUCAUCUCCAGGUUGUCAAUUCUGUAGUAUUGCUGCCAUUUUGUUUUUAAUUUGCGGGGGGGGGGGGCAGCCAUGAAGGUUAGAAAUUUUUUCUUGACUAAAUGACUCCUGCCCAUUGAGUUUCAAAAAGAGGUUUAGUAGAGUGGGAUAGGCCACGAAGAAGGCAAAGAGCGGUUUAUAGGACAGUUGAAUGGUGCAGCACAGCAGGUUUAUCAGAAAAUGUUGGCAACAGAUUUAAACUGUAAAGAAAGCUGAGCAUUAUAACAAGUUGACCAGGAAUCCUGUGGCAUCAGUGAAGAUUAUAAGAAGAGACAAGGCAUUUGUUGAGAGUGUUCUUCACUAUGCUUCUGCUGGUUGACCAAGGUGUCCAUUGAAGGGCCCUCAGUUGUAUAGUACCUAAUGCUCCGAAUAUGUUUAAUUCUGACUGGCCUUCUUUCUUGAAUGCCAGUCCUCUCAGUUCCAUGUGAUUGCUGCAGCAAUGCUUUGAGAUAGAUUCUAGCUUGUUAAUUGCUGCAUGCCUUUAAUGGAGACAAGAGACAGAUUGAACUACUGUGAUUGCACCGUGAUUUUUUCUGGCCUUGGUCUCCUGCCUUGCCGCUCAUCUAUAGGCACCCGCAUAAUCACCUGAAUGAUUGGGUAACAUGUUAUGUUUGUUUAUGAAUUUUCCAAUACAUUCCAGAUAGGAUUUUUGAAAUACAUUAGCUCUAUGUAUUUCACGCGGGUGGCGCUGUGGGUUAAACCACAGAGCCUAGGACUUGCCGAUCAGAAGGUCGGCGGUUCGAAUCCCUGCAACGGGGUGAGUUCCCAUUGCUCGGUCCCAGCUCCUGCCAACCUAGCAGUUUGAAAGCACGUCAAGUGCAAGUAGAUAAAUAGGUACCGCUCCGGCGGGAAGGUAAACGGCAUUUCCGUGCGCUGCUCUGGUUCACCAGAAGCGGCUUAGCCAUGCUGGCCACAUGACCCGGAAGCUGUAUGCCGGCUCCCUUGGCCAGUAAAGCGAGAUGAGCACCCCAACCCCAGAGUCGGCAACGACUGGACCUAAUGGUCAGGGGUCCCUUUACCUUUACCUUUAGCUCUAUAAAGUUUCAGUUAACAUGCUCAUUUAUGUUCCAUUGGAAAGCAUACAGCAUUGAACCCAGAUUAAGUUAGUUGUAAUUAAAGGUAAACGAACUAUUCUCAGUGGCUGACUCACAUAAAAUGCAUUGCAGUAAUUAAACCUAAAGGUUGCCAAAGCAUAGCUCACUCUAGCUAGGCUAUUUCUGUCCAGGAAAGGUCACAGCUCCCCAACCAACCAAAAAAGGUUCUGCAGGGCCACUGAAGCCGCUUGGGUCACUAUUGGUAAGGAGCACCUCCAAGCUCCUAGAGGCAGGUUUUGUUAGUUGGCUUUUGUUUUUUAAAACUAAUUUUAUGAAAAUACUGGGAGGGGUGGCUAACACCCCAGAGGACAGGAUCACACUUCAAAACGACCUUGACAGAUUAGAGAACUGGGCCAAAACAAACAAGAUGAAUUUUAACAGGGAGAAAUGUAAAGUAUUGCACUUGGGCAAAAAAUGAGAGGCACAAAUCCAAGAUGGGGACACCUGGCUUGAGAGCAGUACAUGUGAAAAGGAUCUAGGAGUCUUGGUUGACCACAAACUUGACAUGAGCCAACAGUGUGACGCGGCAGCUAAAAAGCCAAUGCAAUUCUGGGCUGCAUCAAUAGGAGUAUAGCAUCUAGAUCAAGGGAAGUAAUAGUGCCACUGUAUUCUGCUCUGGUCAGACCUCACCUGGAGUACUGUGUCCAGUUCUGGGCACCACAGUUCAAGAAGGACACUGACAAACUGGAACGUGUCCAGAGGAGGGCAACCAAAAUGGUCAAAGGCCUGGAAACGAUGCCUUAUGAGGAACGGCUAAGGGAGCUGGGCAUGUUUAGCCUGGAGAAGAGGAGGUUAAGGGGUGAUAUGAUAGCCAUGUUCCAAUAUAUAAAAGGAUGUCACAUAGAGGAGGGAGAAAGGUUGUUUUCUGCUGCUCCAGAGAAGCGGACACGGAGCAAUGGAUCCAAACUACAAGAAAGAAGAUUCCACCUAAACAUUAGGAAGAACUUCCUGACAGUAAGAGCUGUUUGACAGUGGAAUUUGCUGCCAAGGAGUGUGGUGGAGUCUCCUUCUUUGGAGGUCUUUAAGCAGAGGCUUGACAACCAUAUGUCAGGAGUGCUCUGAUGGUGUUUCCUGCUUGGCAGGGGGUUGGACUCGAUGGCCCUUGUGGUCUCUUCCAACUCUAUGAUUCUAUGAUUCUACUUUUUUUGAUACAAUGAAACAUUUGUAAGUAUUCUCUUGUCUCAAAAUUCAAAAGUUAUAGAAGUAGAAAUGGAAUACAAAUUUAAUUUCUGUAGUUUUAGGGAGGAGCAAACGAACUCAUGGCAGGGAAGGCUCUGGGAGGGAUCAGCUGAUGAGUGGGGGUUAAAUCCUGCUGCCUUAACUGGAAAUCCUGUUGCCUCCUAGGAACAGGAUCACACAGCAACUUUAAGAUUAAACCUGGCAUCACAGUUGAUGGGUGGAUUGCCAUGGUUUGGGGGAAAUGGCUUUAUGGGCCAAGAUUCACUCAAGAUUCACAGGCUGAAGAUUAGAAGGGUGACUUUUAAAUUGUUAGAGAAAUAAAAUAAAAUGUCCGUAUUCAACUUUGAGGCUCUUAAAAACAACAUCAACACCUGGAGCUGAGGGGGCUGUAAGAAUUGGGCAGCUGGAAAGAAACAAAUAUCCCAGAAACACUUCAAAUGCACAAAUGUGGUCCCUUGUACCUCUCCAUCAAGGCCAGAGCUAGAAGUCUGGGAUCCAAAGGCCAGAGCUCAGUCCGCCAAGAAUCUGCCACGUGUUAGAGGAGCAUCGCAUGAAGCAGAAAUGGCUGGUUGGUGCAGGGACAUCUCUGCAUCCCAGCUAUGGUUUAUAUGCUGAAUUAGGAGAAGUUUGGGGUUUGUCUUCUUUCCUUGUUAAUCGUCAAAACCCUGCACUUUUCAAUCCCCUAGUCUCAUGACCGGGAAUAUCUUAAAUUGUAGAAAUAUUUU